UACCUGAUGCCUGUUACGUGCUAUGCUCA
rnacentral:piRNA from 1 species